rnacentral:lncRNA from 1 species
UUCUCCAUCUUUCUCUCUUUUCUUCUCUCCCUUUCUUCCUCCCUCUUCUCUCUCCCCCCUCUAGUCUCUUCUUUCUCUUUUCCUUUCUCCCCUUUUCUUUUUCCCUUUCUCUCUUUUCCCUUUUUCUCUUUGUUCCUCUCUCCAUCUUUCUCUCUCCAUCUUUCUCUUUCCCUCUUCCUUUCUCUCUUCCUUUCUCUUCCUCUUUCUCUCUCACUCCCUCUCUCUUGCUUUCAUUUAUCUCAUUCUGUUCUCUCCGUCUCUCUACUUGUCUCCUCUCUCCCACUUUCUCUCCCUUUCCUUCUCUGUCAUCUUCUCUCUCUCUCUUCCUCUGUCUUCUGUAUUUCUCUUCCUCUCUCACUCUUUCACUCUUCUCACUCUGGUUCUCACUCACUCCUUCCCUCCUUCUUUCUCUUUUGCUUUACCUCACUUUCUCUCUUCCUUUCUUCUUUCUUUCUCCCUCCCUUUCCCUCUCUCUCUCCUUCUCUCCCAGUCUCCUCCUUUCUUUCUCCUUCUUUCUCUCUCUCUCCCUCUCUUUCUUCCUCUUUGUUCCUCUCCCUCUUUUUCAUUCUCCCUCUCCCUCCCUUUCUUCUUUUUCUUUCCCACUUUUUUCUCUCCCUAUCACACUUCCCCUCUAUCUUUUCUUUCUCUCCCUCUUUGUCUUUUGCUUUCCUCCCUUCUCUCCUACCACUCUCUUCUUUCCCCAUCACCAUCUCUCCCUCUUUGCCUUUCUCCUUCUUUGCCCGGCCCCAGUGCUGCGCCCCCCCCGCACCCGCGGUCCUGCCAUGCCCCUUGGGGAGCAGCYCUGCCCGCUGCCCCCUCGGGGCCCCUCUCAGUGCCUUCCAGUGUCCCCRGAGUCCCCAGGCACCUCCCAGUGCCCCCCAGUAGCCCCAGUGCUCCCCACGCCCCCACUUGCCCCUCGGUCCCUCUGCUCCCCCUGGGGGCCCUCCCAGCCCUAGUCCUAGUCCCACCCCAUCAGCCCUCUCACUCCAGUUCACCCUGGUCUCCCUGGGCAACUCUGGGUGCCCCCUCAUUUCCCCAGGCACCUCCUGGUAUCCCC